UACGUAGGGUGCGAGCGUUGUCCGGAAUUAUUGGGCGUAAAGAGCUUGUAGGCGGUUUGUCGCGUCUGCUGUGAAAAUCCGGGGCUCAACCUCGGGCCUGCAGUGGGUACGGGGCAGACUAGAGUGCGGUAGGGGAGAUUGGAAUUCCUGGUGUAGCGGUGGAAUGCGCAGAUAUCAGGAGGAACACCAAUGGCGAAGGCAGAUCUCUGGGCCAUUACUGACGCUGAGGAGCGAAAGCGUGGGGAGCGAACAGG
rnacentral:rRNA from 1 species